AUUCAACCCAUAAGGCUAAAACCCUAUCCUCUUUCUUUCUCAUUCUCAGGAAUCACAAUUGCAGCCUCUCCCUUUCCCUUCUCGCUCUUGGUCCUCCCCUCCUCACUGUGUUGUUUGUUUCUAAGUAUCGAUCCUAAAAUCCCUGUGUAGAUAUCACUCGAUCUCUCUCUACUUGCCAGCAUUGUAUUGUCAAACAAAGAAGAAGAAGAAGAAGAAUCAGGUGAGCUCGGUUAGCCUUUCUCCUCCGUCCAGCCACUGCAGUGACUUUCAGUUAAUUAGUUCAAGAAGCACUUAAAAUGAGCAAUGGGGAUCAAACUCACAAAUAUUCAAGGGAAGGCAUGCUUCAAGGGGGAGUAUUCUAUAUCUAUUAGCUUUUCUUUGUUAUUACAUUUAUGAUGUUGCUCUUGACCUGAUUAUAAUAUCUUGAUGACAUUGAAGACAAUAUCAAAUUUGAGUUUGGGGGUGCAUUUCAUGUAUUGCAUUCAUAUAUUGUAUUUCAUUAUCUUAUUAUGUCUAUAUUAUAUUUGUGUAUUAAAAAUCCAAAAAAUUUUUACAAAUUUUAAAAAUUCUGGAUUUUUCAAAAGGGUUUAAACUUAGAAUUAUAACUAAAACCUUGAUGAGCUAAUGAUUAGACUCUCUGGGAAAGAGGAAUGAAUGUAACUGGAUGGACAAAAAGGCUUUAAUAUAUUGUUUGUGAAAAACUAAAUCACCUAAGUGGAGUUAAACUAGUUAAACCCCUUCAUAGCUAUUAAUCUGUCACAUUGAACUUGCAAAAUUAGGAGAAAAUUUUUGAAAUACAAGUAA